rnacentral:rRNA from 1 species
CGUGGGUAACCUGCCCAAGAGAUCGGGAUAACACCUGGAAACAGAUGCUAAUACCGGAUAACAACAGAUGAUGCCUAUCAACUGUUUAAAAGAUGGUUCUGCUAUCACUCUUGGAUGGACCUGCGGUGCAUUAGCUAGUUGGUAGGGUAACGGCCUACCAAGGCGAUGAUGCAUAGCCGAGUUGAGAGACUGAUCGGCCACAUUUGGUACUGAGACACGGCCCAAACUCCUACGGGAGGCAGCAGUC